UUCUUCAAUCUUAAUCUCUUUUGCCCAAUUGGUCAUAUAGAAUGCAAAUCGUGCAAUCAUCACUUAGAAAUAUGGAACUUAAACAGUGUAAUGAUUGUGUGUAACCUCGCUACUAAUUGGUUGACGCUGAUCCUUGAUUCAAUAUAUCGACCCUUAUAUUCCAAACGGAUAAACACGACAUCCCCACCAGUCUCAAAAAGGCAUUUUCUGACUGCUUUUGGUUUGCACAAGUACUUCCUGUGUGGAUAUUAAACUCUUCCUCUAGCACUGUGGAUGCUGCCGGUGGGUCUUGGCUCAGUGAACGCAGAGCAAAGCAGGGGAAGGUGUUACGCGCUAAUUAAGUCUGAACUCCCGCGGCUGCAACACAGGCAAGCGUUUAAGAGCAUCAGACGACAAGAACGCCCGCGUUGUGUGGAUUUUAACAUUUCAAUUAAUGUCUUGUUCUUUCGGGAAGAAUUUUAGAUAGAAUUGGUUCUGCUUACUGUCGUGGUCAAUCAGUUAUCUAAUUUAAUUAUAAGGUUUUGAUCCUCUUUUGUAUGCUGCUGUUUAGACGGGUUCCUGGAAUUUGCAUACGAAUUGGGUUUGAUAAACACCAGCUGUCAUCAGCAGCGUGGAAAAAGAAAGGAAAGACAAAUCAAUGUGUGCAGUACAGGAUUGUAUUGAUUGAAAUUGGACUUGGAAGGCUGCUUGUGUUUUUAAUACACUGUAUUUGGAGCAGUGGCGGCAAUCUGAAGACGUGAAUGGGGGUCUUCGCUAGUUUAAAUCUUGCACAUGAAUGGAUGGGUGGAUGUCAUUGUGUUUUGGAUGUAGAAUGUUGCCUCUUUUUUUGCAGUUGGGAUGAAGCCUACACAAGAAAACCACAGACUUUCAAAGACAUUGGGGGUGUUGGGGAGAUCUGGUUUGGCGUGGAAAGUAUGGCUCCAGUUGUUCAAUCGCUAGAGAAGGAAAAUAUUCCAUGAGGUGCAUCUGUGCUUUAUUGAAACAGGGAAUGGGAUGUUUCUAGUGGAACUGGAUUUGAGAUUCAGCAGGAGCUGCCAAAGCCUAGCUUCCAGUUUGCAGAGAGAGAACCGGGAAUAGUGUGACAGCGCUGGUUUUAAAAAGGAAGAACUAAACACUUUUAUUAAAUACAGGACUGAACCACAAAUAGCUUUUUUGGGAAGGGGUCUGCCUUGUUGUUGCCAAAUAAACUUUUGAAAGGACUUGUAAAAAGGUCCUAGGAAUUUUCGGCAGCAUUUUCAAAGAAGGACUCGAUUACAUGGAUUUUUGUUAUUUGUACAAGACAGAAUUUAUACAGAACUUUAAGUUUAUGCAACAUUAGGAAAUCAUUUAAAUGUGCUUUUUUAUAUAAAGAAAAACUUGCAUAAACAUAUGGAGACAUUUUCACAGCCAUUACUGUGACUAUAUUUAGAAGGGCAGCUAACUUGACUUCUGUAUCCGCAUUGGUUUCUGUCUGUUAUAAAUGCUGAGCCUGCAACCAACUCUUAAAGUUUUACUUCAGGAAUUUGCUUUCAUUUUCCCAGCUGAUUUUGCUCAGUUUUUAUUAUAGGCAUCCUCCAAAGAUAUUUUUACCAGCAUUAUUGUUAGUAAAGCUGCUUCUGUCAGUUUGAGAGCAUAAAUGUUACAAAUGUGUAGCUUUCACAGUUAAGGUUGUCUUUUUGAAACAGUGUGAAGGUUGAACCAUUGAGAUCAGAAACAGAACAGCAGGUGGGGGUAUUCUGUAACAUGUUAGGUGGUGUAGCACUAAUACUUUACAGCACCUGAUCUCUGACAGGCUCCAGGGCAUGACACAUUUUGUUUUAUUCUAUUCCCAUAUGUAGAGCUGCAGUUGUGGUUAUAGCGGGAAAGAAUGUUCUUGUAGUGCAGGGUUGCUGGAAUGCUGGGGUGCAUAGUGUAUGUCACACUUAUAUUUGUAUGAAUGUAUGAAUGCUGGUCACUGUGAUCUACUUUUUAUUAAUGCUAGUAGUUCAGAUUUUAAAUUGCCAGCAGUGGAGGUGGAUAUACAGGUGUGUGCAACUGCUUUGUAUGAAUUGAAUGAUUCUGUAAACAAAACUAACGAUGUCUAGUGUUUUUGAUAGAAUUAGGAUUUGAGUCCUGCUUGUCCACAGAGCAGGUAUAGCACAAGAAGCUGUAGUUCUGGUUUUCCCAAAUUCGCACCAAAGUGCUGGAAAUGAUCCUGCUAGGGCUACCAGCUAGGCAAUGACUGUUUUAUUGUCACGUUGUGCCUGAGAUAACAAUAGUCAAUUUUAACAUUAAUGCAGUUCCUUUUCCUUUCAAUAUGUCUCUUUGUAAAUCUAAUGGGGAUAAUGUUUAGAAAAGAAAUAAACA